rnacentral:rRNA from 1 species
CCAGCAGCUGCGGUAAUUCCAGCUCCAAUAGUGUAUAUUUAAGUUGCUGCAGUUAAAAAGCUCGUAGUCGGAUUUCGGGCGGGGCCUGCCGGUCCGCCGUUUCGGUGUGCACUGGCAGGGCCCGCCUUGUUGCCGGGGACGGGCUCCUGGGCUUCACUGUCCGGGACUCGGAGUCGGCGCUGUUACUUUGAGUAAAUUAGAGUGUUCAAAGCAGGCCUACGCUUGAAUACAUUAGCAUGGAAUAAUGGAAUAGGACUUUGGUGCUAUUUCGUUGGUUAAUGGGACCGAAGUAAUGAUUAAAAGGGACAGUUGAGGCCGUUUAUAUUUCGUUGUCAGAGGUGAAAUUCUUGGAUUUACGAAAGAUAAACUUCUGCGAAAGCAUUCGGCAAGGAUGUUUUCA